GGAAGGUCAUAGCUUAGUGGCAGAGCAUCUGCUUUGUAUGCAGAAGGUCCCAGGUUCAAUCCCUGGCACCUCCA